rnacentral:rRNA from 1 species
CAGCAGCCGCGGUAAUACGUAGGGUGCAAGCGUUAAUCGGAAUUACUGGGCGUAAAGCGUGCGCAGGCGGUUUUGUAAGACAGAGGUGAAAUCCCCGGGCUCAACCUGGGAACUGCCUUUGUGACUGCAAGGCUAUAGUACGGCAGAGGGGGAUGGAAUUCCGCGUGUAGCAGUGAAAUGCGUAGAUAUGCGGAGGAACACCGAUGGCGAAGGCAAUCCCCUGGGCCUGUACUGACGCUCAUGCACGAAAGCGUGGGGAGCAAACAGGAUUAGAUACCCGCGUAGUCCCUGUCUCUUAUAC